AACGAACGCUGGCGGCAGGCUUAACACAUGCAAGUCGAGCGCAUCCUUCGGGGUGAGCGGCAGACGGGUGAGUAACGCGUGGGAACGUGCCCAAAGGUACGGAACAACUCCGGGAAACUGGAGCUAAUACCGUAUGUGCCCGAAAGGGGAAAGAUUUAUCGCCUUUGGAUCGGCCCGCGUCUGAUUAGCUAGUUGGUGGGGUAAUGGCCUACCAAGGCGACGAUCAGUAGCUGGUCUGAGAGGAUGGCCAGCCACACUGGGACUGAGACACGGCCCAGACUCCUACGGGAGGCAGCAGUGGGGAAUAUUGGACAAUGGGCGCAAGCCUGAUCCAGCCAUGCCGCGUGAGUGAUGAAGGCCUUAGGGUUGUAAAGCUCUUUCGCCAGGGACGAUAAUGACGGUACCUGGAUAAGAAGCCCCGGCUAACUUCGUGCCAGCAGCCGCAGUAA
rnacentral:rRNA from 1 species